AGUGAACGCUGGCGGUAGGCCUAACACAUGCCAGUCGAACGGCAGCACAGUAAGAGCUUGCUCUUACGGGUGGCGAGUGGCGGACGGGUGAGGAAUACAUCGGAAUCUACUUUUUCGUGGGGGAUAACGUAGGGAAACUUACGCUAAUACCGCAUACGAUCUACGGGUGAAAGCAGGGGAUCUUCGGACCUUGCGCGAUUGAAUGAGCCGAUGUCGGACUAGCUAGUUGGCGGGGUAAAGGCCCACCAAGUCGAAGAUGCGGAGCCGGUAUGAGAGGGGGAUAGGCGGCAGUGGAGCUGAGACACGGACCAGACUAAGACGGGAGGCAGCAGUAGGGAAUGUUCCGCAAUGGGCGAGAGCAUGACGGAGCAACGCGAAGUGAGUGAUGACGGUCUUCGGAUCGUAAAGCUCUGUUAUUAGGGAAGAACAAAUGUGUAAGUAACUAUGCAGGGAUUGACGGUAACUAAUAAGAAAGCAACGGCUAACUACGUG
rnacentral:rRNA from 1 species